rnacentral:rRNA from 1 species
UACGUAGGCAGCAAGCGUUGUUCGGUGUUACUGGGCGUAAAGAGUGCGUAGGCGGUCCUCUAAGUUCGGUGUGAAAUCUCCCGGCUCAACUGGGAGGGUGCGCCGGAAACUGGAGGGCUUGAGUAUGGGAGAGGAAAGCGGAAUUCCUGGUGUAGCGGUGAAAUGCGUAGAUAUCAGGAGGAACACCUGUGGUGUAGACGGCUUUCUGGACCAUGACUGACGCUGAGGCACGAAAGCGUGGGGAGCAAACAGG